rnacentral:rRNA from 1 species
UGGAGUAUGUGGUUUAAUUCGAUGCAACGCGAAGAACCUUACCUGGUCUUGACAUCCCGGAGACCCUUAGGAAACUAGGGGUGCUUCCAUCUGGAAGAAUCUGGAGACAGGUGCUGCAUGGCUGUCGUCAGCUCGUGUCGUGAGAUGUUGGGUUAAGUCCCGCAACGAGCGCAACCCUUGCCUUUAGUUGCCAGCAGUUCGGCUGGGCACUCUAAAGGGACUGCCGGUGUUAAACCGGAGGAAGGUGGGGAUGACGUCAAGUCCUCAUGGCCUUUAUGACCAGGGCUACACACGUACUACAAUGGCCGAUACAAAGGGCAGCGACACUGCGAGGUGAAGCCAAUCCCGUAAAAUCGGUCUCAGUCCGGAUUGGAGUCUGCAACCCGACUCCAUGAAGUUGGAAUCGCUAGUAAUCGUGGAUCAGCAUGCCAUGGUGAAUACGUUCCCGGGCCUU